rnacentral:lncRNA from 1 species
CAGCCUCCCAAAGUGCUGGGAUUACAGGUGUGAGCCACCGCGCCCAGCGAGUUCAGUUGAUUUUUUUAUAGUGGCGUGUUUGGUUCCCUUCUCACUUCCUUUUGUGUAUAUUCUGUAGAUAUUUCCUUUGUGUUACCAUGAGACUUAGAUAAAACAUCCUAAUGUUAUAACAACCUAUUUUAAACUGAUAACUUUAAUUGCAUACAAAAGACGUCCUUUACAGCUCCGUCUCUUCUUUAUGUUAUUGCUGCCACAAAUUACAUCUUUAUAUAUUGUGUACCCACUAGCAAAGAUUUAUAGUUUUUUAUGCUUUUCUAUUUUAAGUCCUGUAAAAUAAUAAGGGGAGUUACGAACCAAAAUUGCAAUAAUACUGAUUUUUAUAUUUGUCUAUGUGUUUACCUUGAAAGGAAAAAUGUAUAUUUUUAUACAUCUUUGAGUUACUGUCUAGUGUUGUUUACUUACAACCUGAAGGAAGGGACUCCUUUUAACGUUUCUUGCAGGGUAGGUCUAGUGGUAAUGAAUUCCUUCAGCUUUUGUUUAUUUAGGGAUAUCUUAGUUUCUCCCUUGAUUUUGAAGGAUAGUUUUACCAGAUACAGAAUUCUUGGCUGGGCGUGGUGGCUCACACCUGUAAUCCCAGCACUCUGGGAGCCUGAGACAAGCUGAUCACUUGAGCUCAGGAGUUCGAGACCAGCCGGGGCAACAUGGCAAAACUCCAUCUCUACAAAAAAUAGAAAAAUUAGCUGAAUGUGAUGGCUCAUGCAUGUAGUCCCAGCUGCUCAGGAGGCUGAGGUGGGAGGAUCCCUUGACUACAGGAGGUAGUGUAGUACUGCAGUGGGCUGAAAUCACACCACUGCACUCUAGCCUGGGUGACAGAGUGAGACCCUGUCUCAAAAAAAAGAAAGAAAUCUUGGUUGACAGGUUUUUCUUUCAUCACUUUAAAUAUAUCAUUCUAUUGCCUUCUAACUGCAGAGUUUCUGCUUAGAUUGUCCUGGCAGGGGUAGAGAGAGACUACUAGUAAAGUACUGUACAGUUUUUUGGAAGGCAUUGGUAACCACUGUUUAUAAACCAAGUCUUCCCCACCUGCCUGUGUACUGUUCCUCUCAGACAGGCAGAAAUUAUUGAAUCAAACUCCAUACUGUCUCUUUCUGUGAUCUUCCCCUAUUGCAGCAGCAGAAGUCCUCUGACGUAAGACUCCCCCUGGAGCAGGUAGAGUGUUGUUUGGAGUGAUGUAGAUGUCUAUUACUUGUACAUUAAAGGAUUACAGAGAUGUUUGGUAAGUCCAAAGGGGUAGGAUUACCCAGUGUAGUCAUGGGCUAGAAAUGUUGCAAAAAUACCUGAGCCAAGGUCUCAAGUUGGCUGACUUUGUACUAUUAAGCUACAGACAUGCACUUCAUAUGUUCAUCAGUUUUUCAAUUAGCAAUAAUCACUCCUUGAGUAAACCUCAUUGGCUAUGAUACUGCCACUGCGCAAAGCUUGUUCAUCAGUUUUUGAAGAAAAUGGAGUAUGUCACAGGAUUACUUGCGUGCCUUGUUUUAAGCAAGCUCAACAUAUAAAAGUAAUGGUUUCACCAAAACUUGAAGGUUAUUGUUUGGUAAGAGAUUCAGCAGAAGACUUUAAAAACAUUUUUGUUACUUUAAAGAAGGACUCGAAUUACAAAGUUUGAAGAAGCAACUAGUAAAAACACCACUCACUUUAGAAGAAGAGGGUUUAGGUCUGUUCUCCCAAAGACUGGUUCUUACAAAACCCAGGGUCCUGGGCCCAAAGGUUCUUUCUGUGUCAUAACUGCUUAAAAAUGCGAGAGGAGAGAUUCAGGGUGUGUCAGUCCCAAGGACAGACAGCUAGAUAUCCUUUGGUUCUACUUGACCUGGGUAGCAGUGGGCGAGGCUUUAGGGAAAACACUUUGUAAAUUUUAUUAUGAUGGCAUGUAAACACACAGGACUGGCAAUAAAGUGACCUGGAGUUUGGUCUCCAGUAUGAGAGGAUCUCUUUUGGGCAAAGGAUGAUAUUGCCACACAGUCAGGAGAGGGGAUGAGCCUGAUCUUUGAGUUUGCAGGGGGAGUGAUUUAUUUGUAAUUCUUUAUUUUAUGAUUUUUGUGCAAGAAGUUAAGUAUUUUGGCUAGAGAUAGCAUGGAAAUUGAGUGAGUUCCCCAGACCAGUUCUAUGUAAGACCAGCAGAGAAGGUUAGGUCAGUGAGCACUGGUGUUUCGAAGGCUCUCCUGGAAGUCAAUCAAUGUAGUCAUGAGCAGCAAUUCCAAGCUGGCCUCUACUAAAAACCAGAUCAGGGAAAAAGUAGGGCCCAGGUCAAAGAGACUGUGAGCUCCCUGGGGCAGGGACCAGGUCUGUCUGAUUGUCUCUAUUUGGCUUGUUGAACUGAACUAACAUAUAGCACUUGUCAUUUGACACCGAUUAUAAUUCUGUGAGAUGAUAUUUGCAUCUUAGAUGAGGAAAAUGUCCCAUAGAGACCAAGAUGCCUCCCAUCUACAGAGUGGCUGAGUCAAUUCAAGCUCAGGUCUCCUGAUUCCAGAUCCUGUGUGCCUUCCUGAUCACCAUAUCAGCUAGAUCUUUUCUAUGUAGAGUAUGCAAUAGCUUUUAUUCAGACUUUUCAUUCCUUGGCUUUUAUUUUCUGAUCUUUCUUAAUUAUUGCUAUUUUGUUUUUAUCGAGGAAAUCAGAGAGAAAGCUAUGAGACAGUUAAAGCCUGUUAAGGGUUUAUUGAGAAUAUAAUGAUAUUCAAUAUGAAAUAAAAAUCAAAUACACUAGAAUUGCAGCAUAAUCAUACCUUAGAGUUACUAUAAGAUUAAGUUGGAAUCGAGUUGAUCUUAUAGUAAUGAAUUUUCUUUUUUAAAGCUUUUUAGAGCAAAACCUAAUCAAUCCCAUAGCAUGAGGGACAAAACCUAUGUCAAUCCCAUAACAUAAGUGGCAUAUAAGGAAUAUCCUGUGCAUUUCUCUACAGAAAGGGAAAGGAAGCAGAACAGACUUUGUGCCUACCAGGUGUUGGGCCCAAGUUGUUGGGUCUUACUAUGACCUUUACAAGUAUUACCCUCAAGUUUUCCAACAAGUGGUCAUCAUUACCUUUCUAUAAGUGGGAAAAAUAGAUUUAAAGUAAGUGGCUACCCAGAGUCACACAGUAAAUAGCAAGCAAUCCAUGGAUCUAAACUGAAUUAUUUCUGCCUCCAGUGCUCUCAGUUAUGCUGUGGUGUUUUCUGGAUGAAAUACUAGGAUUUAAAUAUAUGCUUAGAGUUUUUGUGUCAAACCUUAAGUUGCUCUUGUACUUUGUUAAACUUGUACCAUCUGAAAUGAACACCUGUAUCCAUUCUCUUUCAGGUUUUGCUGUUACUGCUCAGUGUAGUCACACCUUGAAUAAGAAAUGGAAAACCUUGGGAUGUUGAUAAAGCUAAUAUCCUGAGGAAGAACUUCAGUGGGUCCCAGCUGAGUAGGAGAUGGGAUUCAACAGUACUGGUCUAAUGUGCUGGAGUGGCCCAGGCGGAGGCCCACUUGCAGAGACUAAUGGGAGCCUCAAGAGAAAAUCUACCAUAAGAAAAGGACCAGUCUGAUAGCAAGCCCAGCUUCCCAAGAAGAUAGAAGGUUGGAGGCAAGCUGCUGUCCAGAACUCGCACACAAAGCAGCAUGAGACAGAAGCUUUUGAAGGGGAGUGGAAUGGCUUUUACCGGCAGUGCAGUUUUCUUCUUGCACCAGUGUGGGCUGCAUCCAAUCAGUUGAAGGUCUUAAUAAAGGCUGACUCUACCCAAGAAAGAAGGAAUUCUGCCAGCACACUGCACUCAGACUCAAACUGCAGCAGGUCGGUGGAUCUCCCAACACUGUCAUGCCAGAGGUGCUCUAGGCCAUGCAGGGUCACCAUCCUGACAGCAGCCCACCCGGAAAUCUUCAGCAGAGGCGAAGACUUCCAGUCCUCUGUCAUUCUUUCAGUCCGUCACCUCCACUGAGACUGUGGUGGGCACUGGCCCUGUGCCAUUCGGCGGGUGCUUCCAGCCCCGGGCGCGGUUUGCUCCCAUUUCCAGGCAGCCCCACCUAUUCCUCCCCCAGGCCUGGGCAGAGGGCCUGAAGAAGGUUCACCCGGAGACUGUGCACCCACACGUCCCAGGCACUGGCGCGGAGCCACCUGUCUAUGCCGUGGAACCCUAUCAACGGUGACUUUUCCUGCCAGAAGGAGUGGCCAACAGGUGUCAAUCCCAAAGAGGUUGCGUCCAUCUUUCCCUGAAGCAUCCCCCACCUUCAUCAUCCCCCAAACGCAAUGGCAGCGCUUCCCUCUCGGUUUCUGCACCCUGAGCAUAGCUGCCAGGAUGGACUCAGUGAUCCCGGACCCAGCACGUGAGCAGCCGGUGCUGCCUCGCCUCCCACCUGCCAGGGGCUGUCUCCCCGCCUGGUCAUCUUCCCAUCAAUGAGCCGCGGAUCUACUUGGUCUUCUUGGUCUUCUGUGUCUCGUUUCAGGUGACUGCGCUUCUUCUCCAUCCGCUUCCAGGGCCUCCCACAAGGGAACUUCACUGAGGUAGGCAGAGGUGGUGAGGGGCCUGCCAGGCACUCCUCCCGAGACUGCCCUCCUGUCUUGGUCCUCCUCCAGCCUGUGGGCCACUUUGCCACAGUGCAGGGUUCAAGGAACCAAUGAUACUUAGACCACUCCAUUAAUAUUAGCUAUGAACCCCCUCCAGUCAGCCAGUCAGUCAGUCAGUCAGUCAACAAACAGUGCCACUGAAUGGUAAGAGUCAGACCAGGCAGCAUCACCCACUGGCUGUGUGUCCUUACAUAGGUUGUUAAACUUCUUGAAGGCUCAUUGUACCCCAGGGCUGUUGGGGGUAAUCCCUGAGAUACAAAUUACAAACCCCCUCCAGUCAGUCAGUCAGUCAGUCAACAAACAGUACCACCCAAUGGCAAGAGUCAGGCCAGGCAGCAUCGCCCACUGCCUGUGUCUCCUUACAUAGGUGGUUAAACUUCUUAAAAGCUCAUUGUACCCCAGGGCUGUUGGGGGUGAUCCCUGGGAUUAGUAAGGUCUCAUAAUGGGAUGCUGCUGAGCUCCUCACAGAGGAAAGGAAUUACAGGGAGAAGGAGGUGAGCAUUCUUGGAGAGCUCCUACAAUAGGCAUGGCAUGUUUGUGAGGCCUCCCUGCCAAGAAGAGAGCGCAUACUCCAUGGAGAACUGAGGGCUGAAAGGUCGGCCCGACUCUGCUCAAAAUGGGCCUUGAAUGCCCAGUCCAGAUAUCUAGACUUAAAAGAGCAAUGGGACGUCGUCAGCAGGGGAGCUGCAUCAUAACAAAAGAAUGGAAAGGGCACAACAGCAACAAUUCCAGAAGCUGACAGCAGAUGGAUGGACACAGUAACUGACUUGGCAGACUGGAAAGCAAAAAUCUCAGCCCGUGAUGGGGGCGCCCAGAAGCUGAAGGACUGGACCACGGAACCAUAGGAGGCUGUGGGGCUUCCAGGAAGGCAGUGCAGGUGGGAGGGCAUGUUGAGAGUUUGUAAGAGAAACUGCGAAAGCCCUCCUCACUGACUUGACUCCCCUCUCCCUGCCUGCAGAAGGUGAACCAGAGGCUCUGACUAGGGACUUCAGGCCCCGCUUCAGGAAGGAGUGGUGCUCUUAGCUGACCACAGGGAGUCAUGCAAAUGUCCACAGCCUGCACAGGCACCAGCUCCCCUGCCCCACCCUGCUCUGAGGGGCCGAACACCAUGGGUGAGCGUCUUCCAUCCUCCAAGAGCUUGGAGGAGUCCUCUUAGAAAGCAGCCUAAAAGGAAAGCCCUCACGAUCUGGGGUUCUGCCAAUGACAGGGCCUUCCCAAGGCCUUGCAGGAAACCCACAGGCCAACAGGCCCACCAGGCAUUUCUUUGCAGCUUCCUGGAAAUAUCUAAUUAUUUCAAAAUAAAAAGUUAAAUUUUUA